rnacentral:lncRNA from 1 species
GUAAAGUUAUUUGAAUAUACCUGUAUACAGCUAGCUAAAAUGACAGAAACAAUUAGGAAUAGAACAAGCCAAAAGUUUGUUAAGGGAUGGGAGUGUUACAAAAACUAUCUAGAAAAACAUUGUUCUCAAAUUAAACCUUUAUUACACUUUGAUUAAUUUUUGCAAAAGACAAAACAGCUAUUAUAACCAAGAAAGUUAAUACCAAGAAAGUGGAAACAUUUAAAGAAGGCAGGUGAGGAAAGGAAAAAUUGACUCAAAUUGAAGUAGUAGACGGAAGUCAAAUAAAAUUUUAGAAUUUUUAAGGUUUGAUAAUUAAACACAACAAAUAUGGAUUAUGGGUGGUGGGAAAUAUAUUAAGUGGUUAUGCAAUUUUGUUUUCUCUUACGUAUUUGCUUAUUCUUAGGCUAAGCCUGAAUUAUGGAUGGAAAAUGUUUAUGGAUAUAUGCAAACAAAAUGUAAUAUAAAUUUAAUUAAAUAAAAAUAGCAGAAACUAUGGAAACACUUGGCAACUGGUGGCUCCCUUUCAUAACUCUUUGGAUGUUUUUUCCAACCUCAGAACAAAAUUUUACAAAUGCUGGUAAUCACUCCUUCAAAGUUAGCUCCCAAAAAUAUGCCAUAUUUUGCUGUAGCCAAGACGUUUGCAGAUACAGGCUGCCUCAGUUCUCAAAAGCUCCUAAUCAAAGUAUGUGCCAUAAUUUCUAUUUCUCUACAGCCCAUAUAGUUGUGAAAUAAUUCUAAGUUUCCAGUGUAUAAGAGCAAUAAAAAUUCAGCUAUCAAAUGUAGGGCAGUGGACCAGAUCCUGUCCGAAGCAUAGGCAAAGCAUGUGAAGCAAGGCCAAUAGCAGCAAGUAAGGAAACAAACACAUCACCCCCCCCAAAAAAAAUAGUACAGUAGUACCUCAGGUUACAUAUGCUUCAGGUUACAUACGCUUCAGGUUACAGACUCCGCUAACCCAGAAAUAGUGCUUCAGGAUAAGAACAGAAAUCGUGCUCCGACGGCGUGGCAGCAGCGGGAGGCCCCAUUAGCUAAAGUGGUGCUUCAGGUUAAGAACAGUUUCAGGUUAAGUAUGGACCUCCGGAACGAAUUAAGUACUUAACCCGAGGUACCACUGUAAUAGAAUAACAAUUUAUUUUAAAAAAUUAGUAUGCCUUUUAUAAUAAUCAGCAGUGGGCCCAGGGGAUAUGGCCUUUCCAUCAAAAUUUUCUACCAAUUUUACUGCUCGUAUGUGUGGACCCACAUAAAAUGAAUUACAGUGGUACCUCGGGUUACAUAUGCUUCAGGUUACAUAGGCUUCAGGUUACAGACUCCGCUAACCCAGAAAUAGUGCUUUAGGUUAAGAACUUCGCUUCAGGAUAAGAACAGAAAUCGUGCUCCGGCGGCAUGGCAGCAGCGGGAGGCCCCAUUAGCUAAAGUGGUGCUUCAGGUUAAGAACAGUUUCAGGUUAAGUACGGACCUCCAGAACGAAUUAAGUACUUAACCCGAGGUACCACUGUACCACAAUCCUUUUUUUUUAAAAAAAAUUAUUGUUAAAAUAGUUCAUCAUUAAUACACAUAUAUUACAGAUAUACAAGCAUACAAACAUACAUUUCAUACUUGCACUCAAUCCCACAAAUAAUUCCUUUUCCCAUCACCAUCCACCACCCCUCACCCCACCUUUGUGUUAGACUUCCGCACUGUACCACAAUCCAUUGGGGGUGGGGUGGGGAAUGAGCAAUUUGGACCAAUGUUGUAUAAGCAGCUCCCCAUGCCGGAAUCCCCAUGUGGACACACUUCCAGCAUUGCUUUCCCAACACAUGUUAUGCUCUCCCUUUUGUUCAUGUGCGUUACAUAUCUGGGGUGUCAGAGUUUGGGUGUGCAAGGGCACCCGUCCCGGCAAGUGUUGGUGAAUGUUACAAAUUAAUAAAUGGUAGAAUUUGGAUAAUAUUUUGAGUAUUGAAGGGAAGAUGGCAUGCCAGGGCCUCACCUGGGAUAGAAGUUGUGAAGAAUGACAAAAAGUCAUUAACCAAUGGUAACCAGAUUCUUUUCAAUGAAUCGGGGGACAUUAAAUUUAUUUAUUUUUUUAAGCUGAAUAGCAGCUGGGAGUCAAUAGUGGGGAUGGAUGGUGAGGCAAAAGACCCCGGGCCCAAGCACACAUUCAUACAGUGGUACCUCAGGUUACAUACGCUUCAGGUUACAGACUCCGCUAACCCAGAAAUAGUGCUUCAGGUUAAGAACUUUGCUUCAGGAUGAGAACAGAAAUCGUGCUCUGGCGGCCCGGCAGCAGCAGGAGGCCCCAUUAGCUAAAGUGGUGCUUCAGGUUAAGAACAGUUUCAUGUUAAGAACGGACCUCUGGAAUGAAUUAAGUACUUAACCCGAGGUACCACUGUAUUGUAUAGAGGUGCAAAGCCCUUUUUUCGCACCCUGUGAAACAUAAAUGCGCAGAGUUUUAAAAAAACUGGGCAACCAGCAAAUGGCAUUCACCACAGAGCCCACCACCAAAUUGCAUCCAGCACAUGGUGGCAGAAACAUGAUCCUUAAUCCAAAGAGGAGCCCAGACCCAGGUCAAAGAUCAAUUUUUAAACAGAGCAAGCCUG